CACGUAGGGGGCGAGCGUUGUCCGGAUUUAUUGGGCGUAAAGAGCUCGUAGGCGGUUGGUCAAGUCAGGGGUGAAAUCUUUCGGCUCAACCGGAAAACUGCCUUUGAUACUGACUGGCUGGAGGGAGAUAGGGGUUGCGGGAACUACCAGUGGAGCGGUGAAAUGCGUUGAUAUUGGUAGGAACGCCGGUGGCGAAAGCGCGCAACUGGAUCUCUUCUGACGCUGAGGCGCGAAAGCUAGGGGAGCAAACGGG
rnacentral:rRNA from 1 species